AGAAGCCUGCAGUAUGCGUGAUAUUAUCUUUGUUUCAGAACUAAAUUAUGAUCGGAAGUCGAGCCAUUUGUGGAGCAUAAGCCGGACACGAUCCGGAUCUGUAAAGCAAACAAGGUAGAUGUCCACUUUUAUCGUGGUUCGUGAAAACAAUAAUACACGGUACUGCGGGUUUUUU
rnacentral:other from 1 species